rnacentral:lncRNA from 1 species
AAUGACCUUCGAUUAUUCCAUCCUAUUAAAUAUGAAACAUCUAAGAAAACCUUUAUACACAAAUCUCCCAAAUUCAUACAAAGUUAAGGUGAGUCAAGUGGGUAAUGUGCGUAUUUUGCUAGAUUUAAUCCUAAACAAUGUGUUAUUUGUUCAAGAUUUCAGAUUUAAUCUCAUUUCAGUUCACAAACUCACUAAACAACUCUCUUGUACCUUGCUUUUCUCAUCUUUUUGCACAUUCUUGUAGGGCCUUUCACUGAAGAGGCCAGUGGUAGUUGGUGAAGUCAAGGAAGGUCUAUAUAUUCUUAAUCCGACUUCUUUAAGUUCUGGCCUAGUUUAUGGAAAUCAAUUAAUUUUUCAGUCUUAUUCUGCUUGUAACAACCUCAAGAAGGACAUUAUCUCUCAUUUAGUUUCUUUUUCUGCUAAGGUCAACUCUAAUGUAAGCCUAUGGCACAAAUGAUUGGGACAUAUGCCUAUGUCUAGUAUGAAAAUAUAUCCAGUUUUAAAUUUCCUUCUCUUGUCAAUUCAACUCUAAUGUAAGCCUAUGACACAAAUGAUUGGGGCAUAUGCCUAUGUCUAGUAUGAAAAGUAUAUCCAGUUUUAAAUUUCCUUCUCUUGUCAAGUUUAAUCAUCCUUGUGAUAUAUGUU